rnacentral:lncRNA from 1 species
AGAAAAAGCUUGUUGAUCUUGGAUAAUCUUUGUGUCAACUUGAUGGAUUUAAAAUAGGCAUCGUCUUUCAGCAACAUGAUGGACUGAAACAGACAGUGGCCUUCAAGUGAUGUUGAGAGGACCACUUGAAUGGCUGAUCCUGAAGAAUGUGAGGAAUGACUGACUCUCUACUUCCUCUUCAAAUCUGGGGGAAUGCUAAACGUGACUCUCGUGUGGGAUACACAGUUAGUGAUAUCUGAGUUGGAAAAAAUGUACACCUUGAGCCAUCUGCUUGCCACCAGUCCCCAAAGCAUCUUUCCGACGCUGAGAAGCCAUGUUGGAACCUAAGAUUUUGCUCCACUGACUUAACCCCAAUGUUAAGCUAACAAUUUUUACAAGGAAGCGUCUGGAAAGAAUGAGAAGAGUUUCUUCAACCAUGUCAAAACUCAAGCAAAUGUAUUCAUAGCUCUUUGAUAUGUCAUGAUUGCCCUUCAGAUAAAUGUAAUCUAAGAGAUAUCUCUAUUUGUAGAAACUAAAAGAAUUCUACCCAAAAUGUGUCCUGCCUGCAAAUUGUGCAGGGGAAAAAGUAAAGCAGAGACUGAGGGAAUGGCCAACCAAUGUCUGCCCUGCAUUGAGAACCAUCCCAUGGGUACGAACCAAUCCCUGACACUAUUACUGUUACUCUGUUAUGCUUGCAGACAGGAACCUAAUAUAACUGUCCUCUGAGAGGUUCCACACAGCAGCCAAUGAAAAGAGAUGCAGACUCACACCUAAGCAUUGGAGGGAUCAUGUUCCAACUGCCUGUGCUCGAGACCGUCACACUCCAUUGUAUUUAUACUCAGAACAUGUGAUAGUUAAAUUCAGAGGUGGACUUGACUGGACUAAGAGAUGCCCAGAUGGAUGGUAAAUCUUUUUGAAGAUGCCUGUGAGGGUGUUUCCAAGAGAGAUCAGCACUUGAUUUAGUAAACUGGGUGAAGAAGAUAGGACCUCGCCAGUGUGAGUGGGCAGCACCCAUCUGUUCAGAGACUUGAUAUAGCAAAGGAGAAGUGUGGAUUCGCUUCUCCUCUUUCUAUGGAAGCAUCUGUCUUCUGCCCUUGGACGUCACUCCUCUUGUUCUUAGGCCUUCAGACUCAGACUGACACCUACACUGCUUUACUGGGCAUCCAGCAUCCAGCAGAUCAUGAAAUUUCCUGGCCUCCGUAGGCAUCUAUAGAUGUAUCAAAAAAGCUCUUCAGAGGACAGCCAAAGAAUGCUGAAGACUUCAAGAGGAGUCGAUCUUUCUGGUGAUACUUGGAGGUUGCUUGAAGGUCCACCAUAAAUAAAAGGUCAAUGGCGGGCCAUAUACAAAGCCUGGAUGAAAACUCACCAGCUUCGUGUUUCUCUCUUUGCAAUGAGACCUUUGGUUCCAGUUUCCAAGAGC